AGAGAUUUAGGAUAGCAUAAGACCAAAAGCCUUCAAAGCUUUAAGCAGGAGUGAAAAUCUCCUAAUCUCUG
rnacentral:tRNA from 1 species